UACGUAGGGUGCGAGCGUUGUCCGGAAUUACUGGGCGUAAAGAGCUCGUAGGCGGUUUGUCGCGUUGUUCGUGAAAACCGGGGGCUUAACCCUCGGCGUGCGGGCGAUACGGGCAGACUGGAGUACUGCAGGGGAGACUGGAACUCCUGGUGUAGCGGUGGAAUGCGCAGAUAUCAGGAGGAACACCGGUGGCGAAGGCGGGUCUCUGGGCAGUAACUGACGCUGAGGAGCGAAAGCGUGGGGAGCGAACAGG
rnacentral:rRNA from 1 species